CUCAGGACGAACGCUGGCGGCGUGCUUAACACAUGCAAGUCGAACGAUGAUGCCCAGCUUGCUGGGCGGAUUAGUGGCGAACGGGUGAGUAAUACGUGAGUAACCUGCCCUUGACUCUGGGAUAAGCCUGGGAAACUGGGUCUAAUACUGGAUACUACCUCUUACCGCAUGGUGGGUGGUGGAAAGGGUUUUACUGGUUUUGGAUGGGCUCACGGCCUAUCAGCUUGUUGGUGGGGUAAUGGCUCACCAAGGCGACGACGGGUAGCCGGCCUGAGAGGGUGACCGGCCACACUGGGACUGAGACACGGCCCAGACUCCUACGGGAGGCAGCAGUGGGGAAUAUUGCACAAUGGGCGGAAGCCUGAUGCAGCGACGCCGCGUGAGGGAUGACGGCCUUCGGGUUGUAAACCUCUUUCAGUAGGGAAGAAGCGAGAGUGACGGUACCUGCAGAAGAAGCGCCGGCUAACUACGUGCCAGCAGCCGCGGUAAUACGUAGGGCGCAAGCGUUGUCCGGAAUUAUUGGGCGUAAAGAGCUCGUAGGCGGUUUGUCGCGUCUGCUGUGAAAGCCCGGGGCUCAACCCCGGGUCUGCAGUGGGUACGGGCAGACUAGAGUGCAGUAGGGGAGACUGGAAUUCCUGGUGUAGCGGUGAAAUGCGCAGAUAUCAGGAGGAACACCGAUGGCGAAGGCAGGUCUCUGGGCUGUUACUGACGCUGAGGAGCGAAAGCAUGGGGAGCGAACAGGAUUAGAUACCCUGGUAGUCCAUGCCGUAAACGUUGGGCACUAGGUGUGGGGGACAUUCCACGUUUUCCGCGCCGUAGCUAACGCAUUAAGUGCCCCGCCUGGGGAGUACGGCCGCAAGGCUAAAACUCAAAGGAAUUGACGGGGGCCCGCACAAGCGGCGGAGCAUGCGGAUUAAUUCGAUGCAACGCGAAGAACCUUACCAAGGCUUGACAUUCACCGGACCGCCCCAGAGAUGGGGUUUCCCUUCGGGGCUGGUGGACAGGUGGUGCAUGGUUGUCGUCAGCUCGUGUCGUGAGAUGUUGGGUUAAGUCCCGCAACGAGCGCAACCCUCGUUCUAUGUUGCCAGCACGUGAUGGUGGGGACUCAUAGGAGACUGCCGGGGUCAACUCGGAGGAAGGUGGGGAUGACGUCAAAUCAUCAUGCCCCUUAUGUCUUGGGCUUCACGCAUGCUACAAUGGCCGGUACAAAGGGUUGCGAUACUGUGAGGUGGAGCUAAUCCCAAAAAGCCGGUCUCAGUUCGGAUUGAGGUCUGCAACUCGACCUCAUGAAGUCGGAGUCGCUAGUAAUCGCAGAUCAGCAACGCUGCGGUGAAUACGUUCCCGGGCCUUGUACACACCGCCCGUCAAGUCACGAAAGUUGGUAACACC
rnacentral:rRNA from 1 species